rnacentral:rRNA from 1 species
UCGAGGGGUAACAGGAAAGCUUGCUUUUGCUGACGACCGGCGCACGGGUGCGUAACGCGUAUGCAACCUACCUCAUACUGGAGGAUAGCCCCUGGAAACGGGGAUUAAUACUCCAUAGUAUCACGAAUUCGCAUGUUUUUGUGAUUAAAGUUUUUCGGUAUGAGUUGGGCAUGCGUCCCAUUAGCUUGUUGGUGAGGUAACGGCUCACCAAGGCAACGAUGGGUAGGGGGCCUGAGAGGGUGGUCCCCCACACUGGUACUGAGACACGGACCAGACUCCUACGGGAGGCAGCAGUGAGGAAUAUUGGUCAAUGGAGGCAACUCUGAACCAGCCAUGCCGCGUGAAGGAUGACGGCCCUAUGGGUUGUAAACUUCUUUUAUAGAGGAAGAAACUUGUCUACGUGUAGACAACUGACGGUACUCUACGAAUAAGGAUCGGCUAACUCCGUGCCAGCAGCCGCGGUAAUACGGAGGAUCCAAGCGUUAUCCGGAUUCAUUGGGUUUAAAGGGUCCGUAGGCGGGUCUUUAAGUCAGUGGUGAAAGCCGACAGCUCANCUGUCGAACUGCCAUUGAUACUGGAGAACCUUGAGUACAAAUGAAGUAGGCGGAAUGAGUCAUGUAGCGGUGAAAUGCAUA